ACUCAAAUGAAUAGACGGGGGCCCGCACAAGCGGCGGAGCAUGUGGCUUAAUUCGAUGCGACGCGAAGAACCUUACCAAGGCUUGACAUACUGGGAAAUCUCACAGAGAUGUGAGGUCCGCAAGGGUCCAGUACAGGUGGUGCAUGGCUGUCGUCAGCUCGUGUCGUGAGAUGUUGGGUUAAGUCCCGCAACGAGCGCAACCCUCGUCCUAUGUUGCCAGCGAGUAAUGUCGGGGACUCAUAGGAGACUGCCGGGGUCAACUCGGAGGAAGGUGGGGAUGACGUCAAGUCAUCAUGCCCCUUAUGUCUUGGGCUGCACACAUGCUACAAUGGCCGGUACAAAGGGCUGCGAAACCGCAAGGUGGAGCGAAUCCCAAAAAGCCGGUCUCAGUUCGGAUUGGGGUCUGCAACUCGACCCCAUGAAGUCGGAGUCGCUAGUAAUCGCAGAUCAGCAACGCUGCGGUGAAUACGUUCCCGGGCCUUGCACACACCGCCCGU
rnacentral:rRNA from 1 species